UUUGAUUUUAAUCAAACGGUUUGGUCAUUAUUUUUAUUGGAUUUUUAGUGGAAUAUUGUUGCACAAAUUGGUCCAAGAAAGUGAUAAUGGUUCAAGACUCUACAUGCAAUUUGAUUGCAUUUCAGAUACAGUUUCUCGGAAGGAAAAGACAAAUAAACAACAACUCAUGUUAAUCAUGAGUCCUUUGGUAUUCAUUUCUUAGAUGAAGAUGGAAACCAUCAAGCAUCAAGGAUUGGUGAUGGAUGUAUAAUUGACAGAAACUAAAACAAAACAGUGGUUUGUUCAACUUUAGUUUACAUUGUAAUAAUAAUAAUAAUAAU